CGGUAACAGCUCAAAUUUAAAAUCCGGCCUUCACGGGCCCGAGUUGUAAUUUGUAGAGGAUACUUUUGAUGCGGUGCCUUCCGAGUUCCCUGGAACGGGACGCCAUAGAGGGUGAGAGCCCCGUCUGGUUGGAUGCCAAAUCUCUGUAAAGUUCCUUCAAC
rnacentral:rRNA from 1 species